rnacentral:rRNA from 1 species
AGAAAUCCCGUCUAAUACCGCGUAAUGCCGCGGGGCUGCAUGGCCCUGCGGCCAAAGGGAGCGAUUCCGGCAACGGAUGGGCAUGCGUGACAUUAGCUAGUUGGCGGGGCAACGGCCCACCAAGGCGACGAUGUCUAGGGGUUCUGAGAGGAAGGUCCCCCACACUGGUACUGAGACACGGACCAGACUCCUACGGGAGGCAGCAGUGAGGAAUAUUGGUCAAUGGGCGCGAGCCUGAACCAGCCAAGUCGCGUGAGGGAUGACGGCCCUACGGGUUGUAAACCUCUUUUGUCGGGGAGCAAAUUCCGCCACGUGUGGCGGAGUCGAGAGUACCCGAAGAAAAAGCAUCGGCUAACUCCGUGCCAGCAGCCGCGGUAAUACGGAGGAUGCGAGCGUUAUCCGGAUUUAUUGGGUUUAAAGGGUGCGUAGGCGGACUGUCAAGUCAGCGGUAAAAUACGGGGGCUCAACCUCCGCCCGCCGUUGAAACUGACGGUCUUGAGUGGGCGAGAAGUAUGCGGAAUGCGUGGUGUAGCGGUGAAAUGCAUAGAUAUCACGCAGAACUCCGAUUGCGAAGGCAGCAUACCGGCGCCCGACUGACGCUGAAGCACGAAAGCGUGGGUAUCGAACAGGAUUAGAUACCCUGGUAGUCCACGCAGUAAACGAU